UACGAAGGGGGCUAGCGUUGCUCGGAAUGACUGGGCGUAAAGGGCGCGUAGGCGGCUCAUACAGUCAGGCGUGAAAUUCCUGGGCUCAACCUGGGGACUGCGCUUGAGACGUGUGGGCUUGAGUGGGGAAGAGGGUCGUGGAAUUCCCAGUGUAGAGGUGAAAUUCGUAGAUAUUCGCAAGAACACCAGUGGCGAAGGCGGCUGUCUGGUCCGGUUCUGACGCUGAGGCGCGAAAGCGUGGGGAGCAAACAGG
rnacentral:rRNA from 1 species